AGAGUUUGAUCCUGGCUCAGGAUGAACGCUAGCGAUAGGCUUAACACAUGCAAGUCGAGGGGCAUCACGAGGUAGCAAUACUUUGGUGGCGACCGGCGUACGGGUGCGUAACACGUAUGCAACCUUCCUGUAAGUGUGGGAUAGCCUCCUGAAAGGGAGAUUAAUACCUCAUGAUAUGUAUUUGCUGCAUGGCAUUUACAUUAAACAUUUAUGGCUUACAGAUGGGCAUGCGUUCCAUUAGGCAGUUGGUGUGGUAACGGCUCACCAAACCUACGAUGGAUAGGGGUUCUGAGAGGAAGGUCCCCCACACUGGAACUGAGACACGGUCCAGACUCCUACGGGAGGCAGCAGUGAGGAAUAUUGGUCAAUGGGCGCGAGCCUGAACCAGCCACGUCGCGUGAAGGAUGACGGCCUUAUGGGUUGUAAACUUCUUUUACAGGGGAAUAAAGUGAGUCACGUGUGAUUUUUUGCAUGUACCCUGUGAAUAAGGAUCGGCUAACUCCGUGCCAGCAGCCGCGGUAAUACGGAGGAUCCGAGCGUUAUCCGGAUUUAUUGGGUUUAAAGGGUGCGCAGGCGGAAGAUUAAGUCGGUGGUGAAAUUUUGCAGCUCAACUGUAAAAGUGCCAUUGAUACUGGUUUUCUUGAGUGUGGAUGAAGUAGGCGGAAUUUGUGGUGUAGCGGUGAAAUGCAUAGGUAUCACGAGGAACUCCGAUUGCGCAGGCAGCUUACUAAACCAUAACUGACGCUCAGGCACGAAGGCGUGGGGAUCAAACAGGAUUAGAUACCCUGGUAGUCCACGCAGUAAACUAUGAUUACUCGCUGUUUGCGAUACACAGCAAGCGGCUUAGCGAAAGCGUUAAGUAAUCCACCUGGGGAGUACGUUCGCAAGAAUGAAACUCAAAUGAAUUGACGG
rnacentral:rRNA from 1 species